rnacentral:rRNA from 1 species
GAUGAACGCUAGCGGCAGGCCUAACACAUGCAAGUCGAGGGGUAGAACACUUCGAUGUUUGAGACCGGCGCACGGGUGUGUAACGCGUAUGCAAUCUGCCUUACACUAAGGGAUAGCCCAGAGAAAUUUGGAUUAAUACCUUAUAGUAUAUUGAUGUGGCAUCACAUUAUUAUUAAAGAUUUAUUGGUGUAAGAUGAGCAUGCGUCCCACUAGCUAGUUGGUAUGGUAACGGCAUACCAAGGCGAUGAUGGGUAGGGGUCCUGAGAGGGCGAUCCACCGAACGGGUACUUAGACAAGGACCAGACUCCUACGGGAGGCAGCAGUGAGGAAUAUUGGUCAAUGGUCGCAAGACUGACCCAGCCAUGCCGCGUGCAGGAUGAAGCAUCUAUGGUGUGUAAACUGCUUUUGUACGGGAAGAAACACCUCUUCGUGAAGAGGCUUGACGGUACCGUAAGAAUAAGGAUCGGCUAACUCCGUGCCAGCCGCCGCGGUAA